GGCCAUGCAGGGCCCCAGUGCCAGGGUGAAGAUCGGAAGCUAUUAGCAUGCCAGGAAGGCAUUGAGGAGGGUUAGCCAGGCAAUGUUUGAUGCUGACAUGCAUCUUCUUUCUCACAUGUGGGGUCAAUCUUUCAAAGCAGAGGUGGUGCUUCUUAUUCUUCAGGACAGCUAAUCCUCAAACUUGCUUUUGAGUCUUGAGAGGAAUUCUCUUCUGUCAGAUUCUCUCCAUGAUGUUCAGAUAACUGAUGAGCUGCUGUAAUUGAUCGUGUACUUGGCCUAGAACAGGAGCAUGAUAUCUUCAAAUUCUCUUCUCAGACCUGCAAGUCUAAGAGACAUACCUCUGGAAGAUGAGAGAGCUGCCUCUUCAGGAUCAAAAAAAAGAAAACCAGCGUGCUACUGUAUAGAGUUCCCAGGAGCAAGACUGGCUAUCCCUGGAGCCAAGGAACUUUCAUGCUAUCUAGACCUGCCAUCUGAUGGGCAGGAGGCAGAGCGACAUUCUGACUCUUCUGAGGGUGCUACCGGGACUCGCCAUCAGCUGGCACCUUCUGCCCUGGACAGACAGAUCGCACUACACAGGCUUUGUUUUAUGAGUGAGAAGUAGAAGAGUACUGCACAUCGGAAAGACUCCAGGGGCUCAGAACAAAGCUUCCUCAUUCCUGCCCCUGGAAUGUUGACCACAGGGAAUCUAAAGGAAAGAAAGCUCUGUGCUGGUGAGCUAUGGGAUUCUUAUGAAAGUCAGUGCGACUUUGUAAUCAGUAAGAACUCUGAGUAAGGAACACUAUGCAGGAAGAAGCCUUCCACAGAAAGACAGGCAGGGAGAAGCUGAGGCUGACGGUAAGCUUGCCCAAUAGAGCAAGCCUGAGAUAGACUGCCAAGAUGGCAAAAUAAGAGGCUUUAUGAAGUAGCAGUCCUGGAACUCAUAGUUGUAAGGAUACUUUCUUCUCUAAGUCACAAUACCAAAUAGGAAAAAUGAUCUACAAGUGCCCCAUGUGCAGGGAAUUUUUCUCUGAGAGAGCAGAUCUUUUUAUGCAUCAGAAAAUCCACACAGCAGAGAAACCCCAUAAAUGUGACAAGUGUGAUAAGGGUUUCUUUCACAUAUCAGAACUUCAUAUUCAUUGGCGAGACCACACAGGAGAGAAGGUCUAUAAAUGUGAUGAUUGUGGUAAGGAUUUUAGCACGACAACAAAACUGAAUAGACAUAAGAAAAUCCACACUGUGGAAAAGCCCUAUAAAUGCUAUGAGUGUGGCAAAGCCUUCAA